UACGUAGGGUGCGAGCGUUAAUCGGAAUUACUGGGCGUAAAGUGUGCGCAGGCGGCCGCGCAAGUCGAGUGUGAAAUCCCCGAGCUUAACUUGGGAAUUGCGCUCGAAACUACGUGGCUGGAGUGUGGCAGAGGAAGGUGGAAUUCCACGUGUAGCGGUGAAAUGCGCAGAUAUCAGGAAGAACACCCGUGGCGAAGGCGGCUCUCUGGGACGGUACUGACGCUGAGACGCGAAAGCGUGGGGAGCAAACAGG
rnacentral:rRNA from 1 species